UAGUGUAGCGGUUAUCAUGGCUGACUUCCAAGCAGUCGAUCCGGGUUCGACUCCCGG
rnacentral:tRNA from 1 species